UUUUCCUCUAAACAAAGGUACAAAAGCUCAAGAGGCCAGAACAAAAAUGGGACGGAACACACUCCUUUUGCCAACUGUGGAAAACUGAGUUACUGAAGCUUGAGACAUGCGUCCAGCUGUGCUAAGUACCGUCCUCCUGUUGGUGUGCGCCAUGGCCACUGUCACAGAAGGACGUAAUCGAAAAUAUAACACGUACUGAUGGAACUGAUGGAACUAAUGGAACUGAAUUCACCUACACUGUAUGGGAUCAUGAGACACCAGACAAUAAAGAAAGUGAAUUCUGCAUCCAGUUGGACAUUUUUGAUGAGGGAAACUUGAAUGGUACAUACUGCUCAGAGAAGAAGAACUACGUGUGCGCCAAGAAGAUGUGAUCAUCACCAGCUGAACAACUAAUCUGUGCUGCAGUUGGACAAGUCUUUUUACUGCAAGUUACUGCAAUAAACGCUUCGGCGUUUAUGUUC